AGCAGCCGCGGUAAUUCCAGCUCCAAUAGCGUAUAUUAAAGUUGUUGCAGUUAAAAAGCUCGUAGUUGAAUUUCGGGGUUAGUAGGUUGGUCAUGCCUCUGGUAUGUACUGGUCUCACUGAUUCCUCCUUCCUGAUGAGCCGUAAUGCCAUUAAUUUGGUGUUGCGGGGAAUUUGGACUGUUACUUUGAAAAAAUUAGAGUGUUUAAAGCAAGCUAACGCUUGAAUACAUUAGCAUGGAAUAAUGAAAUAGGACGUUCGAUCCUAUUUUGUUGGUUUCUAGGAUUGACGUAAUGAUUAAUAGGGAUAGUUGGGGGCAUUAGUAUUCAAUUGUCAGAGGUGAAAUUCUUGGAUUUAUUGAAGACUAACUACUGCGAAAGCAUUUGCCAAGGAUGUUUUCAUUAAUCAAGAACGAAAGUUAGGGGAUCGAAGACGAUCAGAUACCGUCGUAGUCUUAACCAUAAACUAUGCCGACUAGGGAUCGGAUG
rnacentral:rRNA from 1 species